GACGAACGCUGGCGGCGUGCCUAAUACAUGCAAGUAGAACGCACAGUUUAUACCGUAGCUUGCUACACCAUAAACUGUGAGUUGCGAACGGGUGAGUAACGCGUAGGUAACCUGCCUGGUAGCGGGGGAUAACUAUUGGAAACGAUAGCUAAUACCGCAUAAUAUUAAUUAUUGCAUGAUAAUUGAUUGAAAGAUGCAAUGGCAUCACUACCAGAUGGACCUGCGUUGUAUUAGCUAGUAGGUGAGGUAACGGCUCACCUAGGCGACGAUACAUAGCAGACCUGAGAGGGUGAUCGGCCGCCCUGGGACUGUGACCCGGCCCAGACUCCUACGGGAGGCAGCAGUAGGGCAUCUUCGGCAAUGGACGAAAGUCUGACCGAGCAACGCCGCGUGAGUGAAGAAGGUUUUCGGAUCGUAAAGCUCUGUUGUAAGAGAAGAACGGGUGUGAGAGUGGAAAGUUCACACUGUGACGGUAUCUUACCAGAAAGGGACGGCUAACUACGUG
rnacentral:rRNA from 1 species